AUUGAACGCUGGCGGCAGGCCUAACACAUGCAAGUCGAGCGGAUGACGGGAGCUUGCUCCUUGAUUCAGCGGCGGACGGGUGAGUAAUGCCUAGGAAUCUGCCUGGUAGUGGGGGACAACGUUUCGAAAGGAACGCUAAUACCGCAUACGUCCUACGGGAGAAAGCAGGGGACCUUCGGGCCUUGCGCUAUCAGAUGAGCCUAGGUCGGAUUAGCUAGUAGGUGAGGUAAUGGCUCACCUAGGUGACGAUCCGUAACUGGUCUGAGAGGAUGAUCAGUCACACUGGAACUGAGACACGGUCCAGACUCCUACGGGAGGCAGCAGUGGGGAAUAUUGGACAAUGGGCGAAAGCCUGAUCCAGCCAUGCCGCGUGUGUGAAGAAGGUCUUCGGAUUGUAAAGCACUUUAAGUUGGGAGGAAGGGCAGUAAGCUAAUACCUUGCUGUUUUGACGUUACCGACAGAAUAAGCACCGGCUAACUCUGUGCCAGCCGCCGCAGUAAGAC
rnacentral:rRNA from 1 species